UGUGAUUAUUUUGAUAUCUGGGGCAAAGGGACCUCCGUGACCGUCUCUUCAGCCACCAGUACAGCUCCAUCUGUCUUUCCCUUGGUUUCCUGCUGCGAUUCCAACUCUGAAAGCUCAAAUUUCUUGGGAUGCCUUGUGUCUGGCUAUUUCCCUGAGCCAGUGACUGUGAGCUGGAACCCAGAAGUCCUGGACCAAAUAGUCACAACUUUUCCAGCUUCUUAUGAUUCUACAUCUGGACUUUAUACCACCACCAGCCAACUUACCAUAUCAGACUUGAGUUUUCAGGAAUAUACCUGCAGUGUGGACCACUUAUCUACUAGCACCAAAAUCCAAAAAUCUCUAUCUCUCAACGGCUGUGGCACUAUGACAGUCAUCCCACCUACUGUGAAACUCUUCCACUCAUCCUGUGACUCCCGAGGGGAUGCUCAUUCUACCAUCCAGAUGAUCUGCCUUGUCUCUGGCUUCUCCCCAGCCAGUGUCAAAGUGACUUGGUUAGUGGAUGGACAAGAAGCUGAUAAUCUCUUCCCCUACACAACCAGACCCAAGCGAGAAGGGGGCUCGACUUUUUCUUUACAAAGUGAACUCAACAUCACACAGAGCCAGUGGACGUCAUCUAAGACUUACACCUGCCAUGUCACACACAAUGGCAGCAUCUAUGAAGACAGUGCCCAAAAGUGUUCAGAAUCUGAUCCACGGGGCAUCAGUGCCUACCUCAGUCCACCUAGUGCCUUUGACCUCUAUGUCAGCGAAGCACCCGUGCUCACAUGCCUGAUAGUAGAUCUGGCCAGUAAAGACAAUGUGAAGGUUUCUUGGACCCGAGAAAGUGGAGGUCCUGUAAAUCCAAGCUUACCAAUAGCAAAGCAACAAUAUAAUGGCACUUUCACAAUCACCUCUACCUUGCCUGUCCUGACUAAUGACUGGGUAGAGGGUGACACCUAUACCUGCCGUUUGGAACACCCUGACCUGCCUGUCCCACUCAUCAGGACUAUCUCCAAGGCUCCAGGCAAACGCAUAGCUCCUGAGGUAUAUGUGUUCCCUCCAUCUCCAGAGGAAACAGGAAACACUGUCUCCCUCACCUGCCUUGUUCGGAACUUCUUUCCAUCUGACAUCUCUGUCCAAUGGCUGUGUGAGAACAAUGAUGACUACACUGGACACUAUACUACCACUCGGCCUCACAAAGACCAUGGACCUGACCCUUCCUUCUUCCUCUACAGCAGAAUGAUUGUCAACAAGUCUUAUUGGCAGAAAGGCCAUACCUGCACCUGCCGUGUGGUGCAUGAAGCCCUACCUGGCUUCCGCACCCUUGGAAAAAAGCUUCAUUAUUCAGCUGGUAACUGACUACCCUGACUCAAAGCUCUCCCUUCUAACCUCCUUCCCCACCUCUUUUAUAUGGGGCCAUUCUGGGCCCAUAGAGGAGAAUAAAUCUGUCUGGUGUCUAAAUACUCCAGCAGUUGAUCCAAUAAAUGUGUAUAUCUAUCAGAG